rnacentral:lncRNA from 1 species
UUUUCGGCCUUAGUCAUGUUUAUCUCUUCCGGUGCGUUCUCGGCCUUGGUUUCUUUCUCGGAACUUAAUGCUGAAGACAAAUGCCUUUGUUGAUCCUUUGAUUCUUCUUUCUCUUCCAAGACACCAAUGGCCACAUUAUCUUCAGACUGGUCGCCUGCUUCACCAACUUCAUCCAUCUGUGUGGACUCGUCAGUUUCAACUAGAUUCCUGGACAGAUCCUCAGGCUCAACAGAAACAUUUAUACCGCUGGCUUCACCAUCAAUCAUGUCUGUAUCAUCCGAUGGGUUCUCAGCCUUGUUCUCUUCCUCUGAACUUAAUGCUGAAGACAAAGGCUCCCGUUGAUCCUUUGAUUCUUCUUUUUCCUCCAAUACGCCAAUGUUAUCUUCAAACAGGUCGCUUGCAUUACCAACUUCCCCCAUCUGUGUGGGCCCCUCAGUUUCAACUAGACUCCUGGACAAAUCCUCUGGCUGAACCGAAACAUUAAUACCGCUGGCUUCACCAUCGGUCAUGUUUAUCUCUUCUGGUGUGUUUUCGGCCUUAGU